rnacentral:rRNA from 1 species
CCUACGGGAGGCAGCAGUGAGGAAUAUUGGACAAUGGACGAGAGUCUGAACCAGCCAAGUAGCGUGAAGGAUGACUGCUCUAUGGGUUGUAAACUUCUUUUAUAAAGGAAUAAAACGAGGCACGUGUGCCUUUUUGCCUGUACUUUAUGAAUCAGGAUCGGCUAACUCCGUGCCAGCAGCCGGGGUAAUACGGAGGAUCCGGGCGUUAUCGGGAUUUAUUGGGUUUAAGGGGUGCGUAGAUGGGGUGUUAAGUUUGGAUGAAAAGGUGCCGGCUAAACCGGUACAGGCUCUGGAAACUGGGGUGCCAGAGAGCAGGAGAGGGCAGUGGAACUCCAUGUGUAGCGGUGAAAUGCGUAGAUAUAUGGAAGAACACCAGUGGCGAAGGCGGCCGCCUGGCCUGUUACUGACGCUGAGGCACGAAAGCGUGGGGAGCAAAUAGGAUUAGAUACCCCGGUAGUC